AUCAGUAAGUCACACGCCCUACAGUUCCAAGUUGUUUACCCAGGAGUUGUAGGCCUGCCUGGGAAGCACAAAGACGCUAUGUAAGAAAUAUCACAGCCCCACUUAACAGGAGUUAUGCGAGGGCGUCUUCCAGUUUAACCUGUGAGAAACAUCCAGCACGAUCAAGUGGUGAGUGAUUAGUUUGCAGAGAUAAAGUCGGUUCGGACCACGCCUGGCCUGGUUACAUACCACUCUGACUAGUGUGGACGAGCUUCGUUCCACCCCAGCACCUGACUGCUCCAGUUCAAAGGUGGUGCAGAGGUUGAUGAGAUUGAUGAUGAUGACGAGGAGGAAGAUGAGAGCGAGCACCGUAGUGAGAGUCGGCCCUCCGCCCGUCACCCAGCCCUGCAAGUCCGCUACGAGGGGAGCCAUAGCACCUGUGGACGAG